CCUCAAUGCCGCUGCCCAUGCUAAAAUUGCCUUUUAGGCCACUAGAGCCAUCUAUCAAUCUCUAUGUUCACCACACACUGGCGCAGCAGCAGACGCUGGUUGCUUGCGGCCCCUUUAAAAGCUAAACUAUCUUCCUCAAUCUACACAGCACAAAACUAGCUACAAUAGGACAAUUUGACUGAACACGGUGAAGGAUAAACUAGGAAAAGCUACCUAACAUUUGACACUCGGUUGGAAACGUUGGACGGAAAGACCGGCUUUGUCUCUUUCUACUAUGGAUCAGGACUCUGAAGACCCGUCCAGCCCGUCUCCAUCCUGCUCCACUAAACCCCAACCCAAGGUGUCCCCGGGUCAUGAAAGUAACCACGGUGACCAGGAGGACAGUAACCACGGUGACCAGGAGGACAGUAACCACGGUGACCAGGAUUGUCAGGAGAUGGUUGCCUUGAGCCUCUACUACGGUGGUGAAAUAAUACCAGGAAUUAAUGUUGUAGGCAAAGAGGCUGGCAUAUACUGGGCAUGGAAUUGUACAGGAGAGAGUUCCAAUAAAAACUCUGGUAGUGAGUGGAAUCCUUCUACAUCGGUACAACCGGGACAUUCUACGUCGGUACAACCGGGACAUUCUACGUCGGUACAACCGGGACAUUCUACGUCGGUACAACCGGGACAUUCUACGUCGGUACAACCGGGACAUUCUGCAUCGGAAGAAAAUGAAGAUCCUGGAUAUUCUAAAUUAGGAAUACUUGAACAUUCUACAUCAGAACAACCUGAACAUUUGACAUCAGGAGAACCCGG
rnacentral:lncRNA from 1 species